rnacentral:rRNA from 1 species
ACAUGCCUACAACAUAGCGUUAAUGCACCAGGUCCCAUUAGAACUCCAUAGUUAAGCGUGCUCAGGCUAGAGUAGUACUGGGAUGGGUGACCACCUGGGAAGUCCUAGUGUUUUACAUGCC